rnacentral:rRNA from 1 species
UACAGAGGGUGCAAGCGUUAAUCGGAAUUACUGGGCGUAAAGCGCGCGUAGGCGGUUACGUAAGUUGGAUGUGAGAUCCCCGGGCUCAACCUGGGAAUUGCAUUCAAAACUGCGUGGCUAGAGUGUGGGAGAGGAAGGUAGAAUUCCAGGUGUAGCGGUGAAAUGCGUAGAUAUCUGGAGGAAUACCGAUGGCGAAGGCAGCCUUCUGGCCUAACGCUGACGCUGAGGUGCGAAAGCAUGGGGAGCAAACAGG